rnacentral:tRNA from 1 species
AUUUAAAUAGCUUAAAUUUAGAGUUUAAUAUUGAAGAUAUUAAGGUGAUAAAAUUAUCUUUAAAUA